CGCUGCGGUCAUUGGCCAACCUGUCUCCAAGGAGACCGCGGGCCCUUGCUGCUCCUCUGGCGGCAACUCUCUGGAACUCCCUCGUUCUGCCGCCCUCUCCCGCGCCACCCAGCCCCCUACCCGCCACCGCGACCGGGUUCUGCGCAUUCCCGCCCGACAGCCCCGCGCUGGGUCGCACGGCAAGUGUGACUCUCUGAUGCCACCUGUCGCUUAGAUCCGCAGAAACGGCCACACAGCUCGCAGACAUGCCGAGGCGGGUAGGGUAACCCAGCGUCUCCCGGAGACUGAAGUUGUUACUUUGAGGAUGUUUUCAAGCAACUGUCCCGAAGACUGCAGUCACUAGAGAAAGCUGGGAAAGUUGAAGUGAUUUUUCCUUUCGAGUUCCCCCUUUCUUUCUCAGUGAUGGGAGAAGAGGAGAGCCCUCCAUGUAAACCAUGAAGACCCGGGUGGCAACAACCUGACCACCCUGUGCUUCUUAGAAGACAGUGUUCUUUGGGGAAACCAUCACUCAGGGUGACUGGCUUGGGCUCUGAAUGACCUUUAGAGGCAGUGAAGCUUCAAGCCCUGGGCAGAUGUGCAGGGAUGAGGAGGCCAGCCUUGAGACUCCUCUCUUUUAGCCUCCUGCCAGUGGGGCUGUCACGUCCACAUGCACCCCUGACACCCCUGAAGCAACGGCCAGCGCUAAAGCAGAAGCAACUAGGAGGACAUCUGUUGGAGCGACUGCAUCCAGGCCACGGCACGCAUGCCCACGGCACACAUGCCUGGGAGCAGAGGGAGGGCAUCUGGCUUCCGGGACAGGUAUGGUGGCUUCUCUAACCAUGCUCCCCCUUCUCCUUCCUUGGCCCACAGGGCAUUACUUCUUCUCCAGCCUCACUGGGAACAAAACUCUGUUAACUGAAGACCAAACCAAAGGUUCCAGUGAUGUCUAGGCGAGCCCAGCAGGGAUGCCCGUGCUUCCCAGCCACACCCUCUUAGAUGUUCUGGACCGGCUACCAGAGUCCUGCCUCUCAUGGGGAAGAGACCCUACUGCUGCACUUGGGAGCCCAGGGCAGCCCAAGAGCUCAGCUAGAGAGCUGUCACAGGAGGCAGUGUGGGUACAAAAAGAGACAGUGUCUUCUGCAGCUUUCCCCCUAAUCCCGUGGAUUCUGAGUCCCAGGAGGAGCUGGGAAUGUCAUGAAGGUCACUGAUAGCCUGUUUGCCUGACAUGCCAUCGAGAAAACCAGCCCACAGCCACACAGCUAAGCACUGCCACUGAGUCACAGUCGUCCCCCUUUCUUUACCCCUUAGCAAUACCCAAGGAGAGAACAUGAGAAAGGACCGGGUCUUUUACCAUCUUCCUGCACGGGUGGUCUAUCCUCUUCCUCUAUGAUAUCAUUUCCCUAGGACAGAAGGAAAGCCCCAUGAGUCUCCCAAAAGUCAGAGGAGCCAAGUCAAGACAAGACAAAUCAUCCCUGUGGUAGUUAUUUCCAUGGUCUGCAUCCACACAUACUUCCCACCAUGGCCAGGGGACGCCUGGCCAGCUGCAGGUAUAUGCUCAGAAUGGGUGGUCAGAAUGUCCUCACUACAGCUUACCUGACACUAAAGUAGCAGUAAGAGCUAAAUGAAAAAGCACAUCAAAGUCAGGUAUGGGCACAUGCCUGUAAGCCCAGAACUUGGAAGGCAGAGGCAGGAAGGUCACCUGUAAGGCCAGCUUGGUCUAUCAUAGCAAAGUCUAGGCCAGCCUAAAUUCUUAGUGGGUAUACAUAGUUAAACCCUGUCUCAAACCAGCAAACUAGACAAAAUAUAAAAGCAAACCAUGAGAUCAUAAAACUUUCAGAAACUCUUUAGGGGCCAAGUACCACCCAAAUGUCCUGAAAGGACCUCUAUCAACCAAAGCGAGCCCUGGACCGCACAGGGGUGGGUGCACGGCACACCAGGGCAUCUUCACUCACAGCUGCAAUCCUGUCUGCCUCUGCAUAGGGCUCCUGAAUGGGGUGUGGAGAUUGGAUCCAAGAAGUCUCACUCGAGACAAGCAUCUGUGUGUCUUGUGGGGAGCACUUGAAACCCUGUGACCCCAGGAAACAGAUUAACUGCAAGACAGCAGGGACAUUCCUGAGGUCUGUCAGGGUCUGGCAUGGGAAAAUUCCUCUUGAACUCACUCCCUGUGGAUCAUGCUAGAACCAGUGUCUCCUGGUAACAGGACAGUGCCCCAGGCCAGAGUUCGAGGCUGCUCUUACUACCCACUCUCCCCUUCUAAAUGAUCUGGACAUGCCACCCAGGAAGGCUUCUCCAGCAUUCCUCGGCCUCAGCUGCACAGUUAAAGAAACUGGCUGUGGGGAAGGCUGCUGCUGUCUGCCAUCUAGGUUACCUCUGCAUCCUGUUCUCCAGCUGCAAGGCCAGCAAAAUUGCUGUCUGGGGACUCCGCUGGUGUCCCCUGUAAAAGAGCAACAAACCCCAAGGGUACGGUCAUGGCAGGCUCUCCAGUUAGGCUCUUAUGACAUCAAAGCCAAGGCAAGCGUUCCUCAGCACAAAGUCUAUGGCUUAUAGAAGCCAUAUCUAAGGGAGUGCCAUGUUCCUGCCAGCACCCCAGCCAGCACCAGGACAUGUACGAAGCUGCCUGGAACCCAUGUGUGAAGCAGAGAGCAAGGCAGAUGGGGCACUUCCUUCCCUUACCUCUCCUUCUGAGGGAGCCCUGCUGGCAGCUAGCGGGGAAGGCAGGGCCUCUCCCUCUUCUUCAGUGCCAGGGGCAAUGUAGGAGCCAGACAUGGAGGACACUGUGUCGGUGCUGAUCUGGGAGGAUGCCAUGGACAUGACU